UACGUAGGUGGCAAGCGUUGUCCGGAAUUAUUGGGCGUAAAGCGCGCGCAGGCGGUCUUUUAAGUCUGAUGUGAAAGCCCACGGCUCAACCGUGGAGGGUCAUUGGAAACUGGGAGACUUGAGUGCAGAAGAGAAGAGUGGAAUUCCACGUGUAGCGGUGAAAUGCGUAGAGAUGUGGAGGAACACCAGUGGCGAAGGCGACUCUCUGGUCUGUAACUGACGCUGAGGCGCGAAAGCGUGGGGAGCAAACAGG
rnacentral:rRNA from 1 species